UACAGAGGGUGCAAGCGUUAAUCGGAAUUACUGGGCGUAAAGCGUGCGCAGGCGGUUGCGUAAGUCAGAUGUGAAAGCCCCGGGCUCAACCUGGGAACUGCAUUUGUGACUGUAGAGCUGGAGUACGGCAGAGGGGGAUGGAAUUCCGCGUGUAGCAGUGAAAUGCGUAGAUAUGCGGAGGAACACCGAUGGCGAAGGCAAUCCCCUGGGCCUGUACUGACGCUCAUGCACGAAAGCGUGGGGAGCAAACAGG
rnacentral:rRNA from 1 species